rnacentral:tRNA from 1 species
GGGAAGGUGGCUCAGUGGUAGAGUGCUUGCCUUGCAUGCAUGAGGCCCUAGGUUCGAAUCUGUAGUACCA